rnacentral:lncRNA from 1 species
GGUGGUAUGGUGUGUAAUGAUGGAAGUUUGAUUUGAAGUGGGUUAAAUUUAUUUUCUUGUGAGAAUGGGUUGGUGGGGUUACAGUUUGGUUACAAUCCAAUUUUUUUUUUGAGUAAAGCCAGUCGGCACACUUUAUUGAUCUUGGAAAAUAGUUACAUUGUUUGCCAAGGCUCCUAGAACAAAACUAGGGGGUUCAUCGUCCCAAUUACAAGAUAAUUUACUUUGCAUAGCUAUUCUCGCUAGCUCAUGAGCUACACCAUUUGCUUCUCUAUUACAGUGAUCAAUGCAAAUAGAAUCAAACUCCUGCCACAUCGAGUAGCAAUCGUCAAAGAUUGGAGCACUUACUGUUGCUGAAAUGCCAUCAUUUUUCAUUGUUUCCACCACUUCCAGACAAUUCGAUUCAAUCAUGAUUCGAUUACAUCCCAACGCUUUCCAACAGUAAUCCUUCCUUGAGUGCUAAUGCCUCUGCAGAUGCUACAUCGGCUAUAUUUUCAACGUAACUUACUCUGGCGCCAAUGAAAUUUCCUAAAGAAUCUCUUAUAACAGCUCCAGUGCUUCCUUUACUCGACUCGGCCAUAUAGCUUGCAUCAACGUUCAUUAGUAAC